rnacentral:lncRNA from 1 species
AUCCAUGUCUGAUUGAUUGGCUGGCUGAUUGGUGAUUUUGUGAGUCGGUCUGCAUGUGCCUAAAUAGUACGAGUAGACAAUGCACUGAUAACUAGACCAUAGUUAUGCAGUGUGUCUGGCCUUGCACGGCGAGUCACACUGUUGGUCGAAAAGAGCAUUACUACAUAUGUGUGUGACCAGACGUCUAACAAUCACCGAUGAGAUGUUCGAGGCGCCGAUCGACAGAGGACUAGUUAACUGCUGGGGUCUUGGAGGGAGAACUCCGGGAUGGCUUCCAGCCGGGUAGAUCAUCUAUUGUCCAGUUUCGACCAAUCAUAGUGCCCAUCCCCUUCCAACAACAUAUUUCUUGUUGACCUUUAUCCUCGGUUUUAUCUGCAUCUACUUCCUGAGACGAACGUAGCUCUCCUCGCACAGAAAGAAUGAUUAGGUGCAGGACCGUGGAAUUGAUGACAAUGGGGAUAGCUUCAUGUACGGAGGCACGUUUCCUGUUGGCAUUAGCACGACUGUUCCGUCAUCUCUGUAUUUCCUCGUGUACUGUGCACCUUAUACUCUAAAGGGCAAGGCCAUCCGGUCCUGGCCGGCUUCCAGGUUUCUGUUACCUCACGACAACGGCGAUGAUCGGUUAUCCAUAUCCUUGGUGAAUAGCCGCGAGACCUAAGAAACGGUUUACAAUAUCAUUACGGAGUACUCCGUAAUAGGGAUUGAAAUUCUAUCAAUUGAGACGAGGAUACUCCGCCAAGAUUGGUUGAACAGUAAGCCCGGCUUAGGGCUUUAAACGUCACGCCUCUUUCCUCUAGACAAGCCCGAGCAGAUCCAACACCAA